rnacentral:rRNA from 1 species
GAAGUUAGCCGGGGCUUCUUAUSCAGGUACSGKSAUUAUCGUCCCUGGCGAAARAGCUUUACAACCCUAGGGCCUUCAUCACUCACGCGGSAUGGCUGGAUCAGGCUUGCGCCCAUUGUCCAAUAUUCCCCACUGCUGCCUCCCGUAGGARUCUGGGCCGUGUCUCARUCCCAGUGUGGCUGAUCAUCCUCUCAGACCARCUACCGAUCGUCGCCUUGGUGARCCAUUACCUCACCAACUAGCUAAUCGGACGCGGGCCAAUCCUUCGGCAAUAAUCUUUCCCCCUAAGGGCGUA